rnacentral:rRNA from 1 species
UACGUAGGAGGCGAGCGUUGUCCGGAAUUACUGGGCGUAAAGAGCGCGUAGGCGGCACGGUACGACCGGUGUGAAAGCCCCCGGCUCAACUGGGGAGGGUCACCGGUAACGGCUGAGCUAUGAGUGCAGGAGAGGGAAGUGGAACUCCGGGAGUAGCGGUGAAAUGCGUAGAGACCCGGAGGAACACCAGUGGCGAAGGCGGCUUCCUGGUCUGCAACUGACGCUGUGGCGCGAAAGCUAGGGGAGCAAACGGG